rnacentral:rRNA from 1 species
AUGCACCGAAGCUGCGGCAGCGACACUUUAGUGUUGUUGGGUAGGGGAGCGUUCUGUAAGCCGUUGAAGGUGGCCUGUGAGGGUUGCUGGAGGUAUCAGAAGUGCGAAUGCUGACAUAAGUAACGAUAAAGCGGGUGAAAAGCCCGCUCGCCGGAAGACCAAGGGUUCCUGUCCAACGUUAAUCGGGGCAGGGUGAGUCGACCCCUAAGGCGAGGCCGAAAGGCGUAGUCGAUGGGAAACGGGUUAAUAUUCCCGUACUUGGUGUUACUGCGAAGGGGGGACGGAGAAGGCUAUGUUGGCCGGGCGACGGUUGUCCCGGUUUAAGCGUGUAGGCUGACUUUCCAGGCAAAUCCGGAGAGUCAAGGCUGAGGCGUGACGACGAGGCACCACGGUGCUGAAGCAACAAAUGCCCUGCUUCCAGGAAAAGCCUCUAAGCAUCAGGUAACAUCAAAUCGUACCCCAAACCGACACAGGUGGUCAGGUAGAGAAUACCAAGGCGCUUGAGAGAACUCGGGUGAAGGAACUAGGCAAAAUGGUGCCGUAACUUCGGGAGAAGGCACGCUGACACGUAGGUGAAGUGGUUUACCCAUGGAGCUGAAGUCAGUCGAAGAUACCAGCUGGCUGCAACUGUUUAUUAAAAACACAGCACUGUGCAAACACGAAAGUGGACGUAUACGGUGUGACGCCUGCCCGGUGCCGGAAGGUUAAUUGAUGGGGUCAGCGCAAGCGAAGCUCCUGAUCGA